CUUGAGCUUUAUAAGAGGUCCAGCCUGCCCAGUGACUCUGUUCAACGGCCGCGGUAUCCUAACCGUGCGAAGGUAGCGUAAUCACUUGUUCUUUAAAUGCGGACUAGUAUGAAUGGCACUACGAGGGUUAUACUGUCUCCUUUUUCUAAUCAGUGAAACUAAUUUUCCCGUGAAGAAGCGGGGAUAUAACUAUAAGACGAGAAGACCCUAUGGAGCUUUAAACAACCCAGCAAUUACUUCUAAAAUUAUAAAUUUCAGAAUAUCCACUUUUUAAGUUAUAUGUCUGCAAGUUUUUGGUUGGGGUGACCAUGGAGUAUAACAUAACCUCCAUAUUGAAUGAAUUCCCUUCUAAGCUAAAAAUUACCAAUUGAAGCAUCAACAUACUGACAUCUAUUGACCCAAUAUAUUUGAUCAACGAACCAAGUUACCCUAG
rnacentral:rRNA from 1 species